GGAGAGGUCGGAUCCCAAGUAGUGCGAGGGAUUCGAUGUUGAGCAGGAUGGAGUGGGCUGACGUGGUGGGCUGCUUUCUGAGGGUUCAGGCAGGAAAGUCGUGGCUGGAUCGAUCCAGUCUUCUUUGCCUGGUGGAAACUCCGGGUUCCUCGCGUUUGAGCUUUCUCCAACUCCUUCUUCUGUAAUCGGUGCGGUUGAGGUCG
rnacentral:lncRNA from 1 species